CCCUUAGAUGUUCGGGGCCGCACGCGCGCUACACUGAAAGAAUCAGCUGGUAAGUUGCUCCUGGCUUGGAAACGUCGGGCAACCCGUUGAACCUCCUUCGUGCUUGGGAUUGGGGCUUGCAAUUAUUCCCCAUGAACGAGGAAUUCCCAGUAGGCGCGAGUCAUCAGCUCGCGUCGAUUACGUCCCUGCCCUUUGUACACACCGCCCGUCGCACCUACCGAUUGGAUGGUCCGGUGAAGCCUCGGGAUUGUGGUUCUUGCCGCUUUAUUGUGGCGUGACCGCGAGAACUUGUCUAAACCUUAUCAUCUAGAGGAAGGUGAAGUCGUAACA
rnacentral:rRNA from 1 species